AAAGUCGUAACAAGGUUUCCGUAGGUGAACCUGCGGAAGGAUCAUUACCAUAUCCAAAACUUUACCAACCCACCGUGUGAACUGUUGUGAAUGUUUGUUCUUUACUUGGGGCUGGCGCUUUAGGAGGCUUGCGAGAGGAUAGGAGAUACUACGGGCUAGGUUGUUCACAUCUAUUUUGAGUAGUGUAGUCUGGUCAAACAGGCUACGAACAAACCGGUCUUUCUCCUGUCCACUUGCUUGCAUCUGUUGGCCCAUGAGUAAAGAUCUUGAGCAUUCUAUUUAAACUACUCAAAAGCAUUAACACCUUGUCAAACCAAAAACAUACAAACCUGAUUUUUGUGGCGAUGAAGCACUUGCUAGCCAGGUGUUUUGUCAAAACUAAAAAACGAAAACCAAUAGACAACUUACAACGGUGGAUCUCUUGGCUCGU
rnacentral:misc_RNA from 1 species